rnacentral:rRNA from 1 species
AGAACGAACGCUGGCGGCAGGCUUAACACAUGCAAGUCGAGCGCAUCCUUCGGGGUGAGCGGCAGACGGGUGAGUAACGCGUGGGGAUAUGCCCAGAGGUGUGGAAUAACUCAGGGAAACUUGAGCUAAUACCGCAUGAGCCCUUCGGGGGAAAGAUUUAUCGCCUUUGGAUUAACCCGCGUCAGAUUAGCUAGUUGGUAGGGUAAUGGCCUACCAAGGCGACGAUCUGUAGCUGGUCUGAGAGGAUGACCAGCCACACUGGGACUGAGACACGGCCCAGACUCCUACGGGAGGCAGCAGUGGGAAUAUUGGACAAUGGGCGCAAGCCUGAUCCAGCCAUGCCGCGUGAGUGAUGACGGCCUUAGGGUUGUAAAGCUCUUUAACAGGGACGAUAAUGACGGUACCUGUAGAAUAAGCCCGGCUAACUUCGUGCCAGCAGCCGC